CUAAUAAACCAGCUGCCCUCCUCUUCCAAUCCAAUCCCCUGCUUGUCCAGACUGGGCUGGCACACCCUCGGCACCGUCACUGCAGGAGAUAGGAGGAUUGGAGGAUUGGUCCGUUUCCUGUCCUGAUCCUCCGCCUAGCCUCGAUUUGGCCGGACAGAGGAGGAAAAACACUUUGGGGAUUUCUAGAACAAAAGCUUCAACGGCUCAGAGUGAAGACUUUAGUGCCGAGGACUCGCGCGGCUGUGAAUGAGGAUUAAAAGUGAUAGUUCUUGCACAACCCAUAGGAAUGUCUCAGGUUGUUGCCUUGCAAAAGAACAGGCUGCCCAACUAAGGAUGAUCCUGGUGGAGAACGGCAUGUUUCUGAAGUAUACUGAGGUGGCCCUCUCAGAUCACCCACUCAACAAAGCCACCCCCCACUGCACUGCCAUUAUAUGUGCCUGUGUUUCAGGGGUAGUUAAUUACUUUUGCAGACUUAUGUUCUGACCUGUUCUCAGAUUCUGUGGUCACCUCUGACCUGCCUGGCACCCCAUGAGCACUAGGCUCCUGAAGCUGUUUGACGGUUUUGGCCACAGCAGUUUCAGAUACUUAUCUUAAAAUAAUAAUAUACCAAUGUGAACCUUCACUUAUUACUAGUUAUUUCAUCCAUUUAAUAACAGAUUCCUAGCUCAGUGAGUACAAGCAUUUUAUUCCUUGGGUGGCACCAUGACACAAACUAUGCCUGCUUAGAAAUUGUGUUGGAAAAUGAAUGAAAAUAUAAAUUUUAUAAAAUUUUAUCUAAACUACAAAAGUUGCUUCAGCAAUCGCACACAUACAUGCAAAUUAAAUAAAUUGAUCAACAGCCUCAGCAUACUGGUAUAGUGAAGGAAAUGCUGUAUUUUAGUCUCUGUUGGGCUGUCAUUUUCUGUCACUGUAGACCCAGUCAAGCUAUUUGAAAGAAAACAGUUUAUAGUUAGGAUUAUCAACAAUAAAUAUGAGCCACUGUGUUGUCCCACCUGUCUGUCCAUGUUUUCAUCUCCUGUAUGCACCGUAUAAAU
ensembl:lncRNA